rnacentral:lncRNA from 1 species
UUACCUAUUUUAAAGCAUAGAUUGAGAACUGAAGUACAAGAAAUUGGCGUCGAUAAUGCUCCAAUUUGUAGUUAGCUUGUGAGGUGACAUCUAAAUUUCAUCGUGGCACUAGGGUUUAGCUGAGGUUUAUCCUGCUUAUGCUUACGGACAUCAGAUUUAAAUGCAGUUCAGACACUCCACAGUCUAAACCUCUUCUCCCUCAAAUCAUUCUGAAAUUUUCUCACUUUCUUACCGAUCAUCUUCACCCAAUUCUUUCUUCUCUCAUCUAAAUUUCAUCGUAGCGAAACUAACCCUCCCUCCGCCAUUGCUGAGUACAGACGCCGAUUUGAUGCGUCGCCAGUGGCGGAUCCGGAUCCCACCCGGGAUACCCCUCAAAAUCAUCCGAGAUAUGCACAUUUUUGCCGUUUUAUUCUUCAAGCCCCCUUUACAAUCGAUUAAUUUCUCAUCUGUCUUCUUUCUGUUGUGAUUCAAAUUUCACCAGCUGUCUCUCUCGUUUUCCCUUCAAUCGCGCACAAAAGAACACGAGGUUCAACCUAUUUCCCUUUAAUCGAGUUGCAGGUUUGAUGAGCGAGAUGGAGAAGGGUGCGUGGGUUUUAUGGGAUUCACAUAGAAAACGAGGAUUUAUCUUCUUUUUUUCCGAUUUGCAGGUGUGAUUACAGUGCAGCUAAUCAGUGGUGGUUUUAGGGGCUUAUGGUGGCUAUUCUCACCAGACGAAGGGGAGGUUGGUUGAUGGCCGCUUACCUGUAUGAUCGGAAACUCACGAUGCUAACAGGUUCACAAAUGAAACAGUAAAAACUCAUAAAUAAGGUACGCAUCAGUUAUACGAGUCAUAUGUAAUGUUGGUAUAUGAUGCUCUUAUUUUCUUUUCCCCAUUCAUACAAAAUUACAUAAUUAAAUACUAGUAAAACCAUUGAUAUGCACACAAAGUGUUUGCAUAAAUGCUUCAGUGACAUUCUGUCUUGUGAUUUCUGUUUCUUGUAAUUUUGAUUUCUGUGAUUUGGUAUUGUACAUUUGAAUGCUCUGUACAAAAUAUGUUUAUAAACUUGAUAUUAAUAGAUGAUUUUGUAUCUCUACACUUGACUUGAUGUUGUCUUGCAAUAACUAUCAACAUGGUUUUAUCUCAAUAGUGUCAUAGUCCAUUUCCAUUCUCUUAAAAUUUAAUUAUAUACACAAUACUUAAUACUUAAACCAAGAGUCUAAGAUACAAGGGUGUCAUAAGAUGAUUUUUCACCAAAAAUGUAUAUCUUCCUUUGUUUUUUUCUUUUAUCUUCCGAUUUUGGUCUUGUUUGGAUAGGUUCUGAACCGGCGAUUGAGUCUUUACCAUAUAAGUGAUGCAAUACUCAAAAAAGAACAUUUAUCAAGAGUUUAGAAAACAAACAUUUUUUGGAAAUAUUAUAUCACAAAAAAGUAACGCAAGCUUUGUCAAAGAAAGUCUUUAAUUUAUCAGAUGUUCUUUCUUUCUGAAGUUCAAUUCCAAUUCCUUGCAUGGGCGAAAGAAAAAAAAUAUGGGCUACCCAUUUGGUUCCGCCCCUGUGUGUCGCCAUUAACUUCGACAAUUAAAGCAUGUCUCAAGCAAAGGCCAAGACGAUGAAAUAUCUCAGUUAUAUCUAUAAGGUAUGCAGGGGUACUUCACACAGUUAUUGCUCAGGUAGUUCUUUCAAAGCCCUUCAUUUAAAAAAUGUACCAUUCUAAAUCCUGUGGCCAACAACGAGAGCUUUGGUUUCCUAAAAAACUCGAGGAGAAUUUAUUGUUGCAGUGCAAAAUAUCGGGGCACUAUUAAGGAGCUUGAUGCUCUCUACAAGGAUGGAAAGUUAAAGGAAGCGGUGGAGGUUUGAAUUUAGUCGAGCAGAAAAACAUAUGUGUUGACAUGCAUAGGUUGUUAUUGUUGAUGAAAGAAUGCGAAGAUUCUCAGGCACUCAAAGAAGCCAAAGACGUUCAUGAAUACCUUAAACGGUCAGUAUUAAGAUCUCAUUGUGAUGCUUAUAUUUACAGCCAAAUCUUGGAAAUGUAUUCCAAAUGUGGUUCCAUGGAAGAAACAUAUAUGGUGUUUAAUGAAAUGCCUCAAAGAAAUCUCACUUCUUGGGACACCAUGAUAACAUGGCUUGCUAAAAACAGCCACGCGAAGAUGCAAUUGAAAUAUUGAGGAGGUUCAAAAGGUGGGAUUAAAGCCUGAUAAUCAAAUGUUUGUUGGUGUCCUCACUGCAUGUAGUGUUGUAGGAGACAUCAGAGAAGGGCUAUUGCACUCAGAGAAUGAAGCAUUAGAAUUCAUUGAAAAGAUGUCAAUCGAGCAAAAUGUCGAAAUUUAGGAAAAUAUCAUGAAUAAAUGUAGGGUUUACGGUGAUUUGAAGCUCGGAAACAAAAAAAAAAAAUCAUCAGAAUUUAGCAAUCAAGGAAAGGCUUACAACACUACACGCAACGAUCAAGGUUUACGGUGACAGCCUUCUCGUUUAGAUGAACAAUCAAGGAAAGGUUUGAUACCAAACAAAAAAAGAAAACAGAAAGAAAAAAAGAAAUCAUUAGAGUUUAAUCUUGUAGGUGUUAAAACCAAAACUCAUAAGUAUAAGGCCGAUGAUACUUCUCACCCUAAUCAUGAGAAGUUCUACUGUCAUCUUCAACGUUUAAAACAACACAUGAUAGGUGUCGGGUAUGUGGCCAAGACUGAAUCAGUAGUUCAUGAUGUGAACAUUGAAGCUAAAAAAGAAUCUCUUUUAAUAUAUAGUGAAAGACUUUAUCUAGUGGAAGUUCUUUUGACUAGUCCAGUGUGUGCACGAGUAUUAAUAUAUAAAAAUAUUCAUGUUUGUGCUGAUUGCCAUAAAGCACUCAAAAUUAUUUCGAAAGUGGUUGGAAGAGAGAUAAUUGCACGUGAUGCAAACAAGUUUCAUUAUACAAAAAAUGAAGUAUGUUCUUGUGGAGAUUAUUGGUGAUAAUUCAGCUUUUAUAGUUAAUCUGUUUUGGUAAUUCUAUAAAUACUUAGUGUUUUGUUCACUGUGUAUCUAUCGAUUAUCUCAAUGUUUUCUGAAUGGAGUCAUAUUUUUAUCACUAAUAAUCAUUUUACAAUUGUUUGCUUCUUUUCCCAUUGAGUGUUGUAUGGAUAAAUGAUGUCUAUUUGUUCUAUAAACAAAGAAUGUUUUCUUUUUUGAAAUAAAAUGAACCAUCUUAAUGAUUUUACCCUUAUGUGUAGAAAUGAUACCCAUUAAAAAUGUCUUCCUAAGAACAAUGAUUGGCCGGAGAUAAAGGUUGGGAUCGGGAAAAAGAAACCCCUUGCCUGUGGGUCUCACCUAGAUAAAAGUGAACAUGUAAAAAACAAUUUCCCUAUUAAGUGCAUAAGCAAAAAAAAAAAAAAAAUAGCACCUUUNAUAUAUAUAUAUAUAUAUAUAUAUAUUGGUGUUUUUUCUUAUUCACCUGAGAAGCCUUUAUAGUAUUGCUUUUGGAUAUUAAUCAAAUGAUUUAGAUAGGAGUAUUAUAGGAAAUCAUCAUAAUAAAGAGCAUCUUAUUAAUAGGACGGAAAUUUUGGGCUUUUUAUUAUAUUUAGUUUGUAGCAAUAGAUUAUUAUAAGAAGGUAGUUGGAAGGUGAGAAGAUUAUCUUUUUUGAAAUCUGGUCCAGCACCUUGGGAGAGAACUAGACAUUCGAAAUUCCAGUAAACAUUAGGGUUUUUUGUGUUGUUUUGAGUAUUUUCAGUCAAUACAGGAAACUAUUGAUUAUUGCUUUUUGUUGUUGAUUUCUACUUAAAAGUCAGGUUCAUUGUACCUUUAAAAACGAAAUAUGAUAGUGGAUAUUGAAAGAUGAUUAAUCCAUCAAAGGAAACAUGAGCAAUAGCAACAAAUUUUCAUAUAUAUAUAUAUAUAUAUAUAUANNNNNNNNNNNNNNNNNNNNNNNNNNNNNNNNNNNNNNNNNNNNNNNNNNNNNNNNNNNNNNNNNNNNNNNNNNNNNNNNNNNNNNNNNNNNNNNNNNNNNNNNNNNNNNNNNNNNNNNNNNNNNNNNNNNNNNNNNNNNNNNNNNNNNNNNNNNNNNNNNNNNNNNNNNNNNNNNNNNNNNNNNNNNNNNNNNNNNNNNNNNNNNNNNNNNNNNNNNNNNNNNNNNNNNNNNNNNNNNNNNNNNNNNNNNNNNNNNNNNNNNNNNNNNNNNNNNNNNNNNNNNNNNNNNNNNNNNNNNNNNNNNNNNNNNNNNNNNNNNNNNNNNNNNNNNNNNNNNNNNNNNNNNNNNNNNNNNNNNNNNNNNNNNNNNNNNNNNNNNNUAUAUAUAUACCGGACAAAUGUUCUAUUUCUUUUUUGCUUGAUGCACUUAAUGGGGACAUUACUUUUUACCUGUGGAUUUAUCCACAGGCAGAGGGUUUCUUUUUCUCGGUCCCAACCUUUUAUCCCCAACCAACCAUUGUUCUUAGGGAGACAUUUUUUUAGUGGGUGUCACUUCUACACAUAAGGGUAAAAUCAUUAAGAUCGUUAAUUUUAUUUCAAAAAAGAAAAGAUUCUUUGUUUAUAGAGCACAUAGUCAUCAUUUAUCCAUAAAACACUCUAUGGGAAAAGAAGCAAAUAAUUGUAAAAUGAUUCUUAGUGAUAAAAAUAUGACUUCAUUCAGAAAACGUUGAGAUAAUCGAUAGAUACACAGCGAACAAAACACUAAGUAUUUAUAGGAUUACCAAAACAGAUUAACUAUAAAAGCUGAAUUAUCAUCAAUAAUCUCGACAAGAACAUACUUUAUUUUUUGCAUAAUGAAACUUAUUUGCAUCACGUGCAAUGAUCUCUCUUCCAACCACCUUUGAAAUAAUCUUGAGUGCUUUAUGGCAAUCAGCACAAACAUGAAUACUUUUAUAUAUUAAUACUCGUGCACAUACUGGAUUAGUCAAAAGAACUUCCACUAGAUAAAGUCUUUCACUAUAUAUUAAAAGAGAUUCUUCUUUAGUUUCAAUGUUCACAUCAUGAACUACUGAUUCAGUCUCGGCCACAUACCCGACACCUAUCAUGUGUUGUUUUAAACAUUGAAGAUGACAGUAGAACUUCUCAUGAUUAGGGUGAGAAGUAUCACCGGCCUUAUACUUAUGAGUUUUGGUUUUAACACCUACAAGAUUAAACUCUAAUGAUUUCUUUUUUUUCUUUCUGUUUUCUUUUUUUGUUUGGUAUCAAUCUUUCCUUGAUUGUUCAUCUAAACGAGAAGGCUGUAGAAGGUUAACCAUCUCAACACAAUGGUAUCCGAGCUCCAAAUCACCGUAAACCCUACGUUGAUUCAUGAUAUUUUCCUAAAUUUCGACACUUGGCUCGAUUGACAUCUUUUCAAUGAAUUCUAAUGCUUCAUUUAAGUACCCUGCACUCCCAUGCAUAUCAACCACACUUGCAUAAUUAUCCAUGGAUGGAGCAAGAUUGUAAAUCUUGAUUAUAGACUCGAAGUGCAAUAGCCCUUCUCUGAUGUCUCCUACAACAUUACAUGCAGUGAGGACACCAAGAAACAUUUGAUUAUCAGGCUUUAAUCCCACCUUUUGAACCUCUUAAAUAUUUCAAUUGCGUCUUCUUCGUGGCCGUUUUUAGCAAGCUAUGUUAUCAUUGUGUUCCAAGAAGUGAUAGUUUUUUGAGUCUUUUCAUUAAACACCAUAUAUGCCUCUUCCAUGGAACCACAUUUGGAAUAUAUUUCCAAGAUUUGGUUGUAAAUAUAAAUAUCACAAUGAGAUCUUAAUACUGACCGUUUAAGGUAUUCAUGAACUUCUUUGUCUCUUUGAGUGUCUGAGAAUCUCCGCAUUCUUCAUCAACAAUAACAACCUAGGCAUGUCAACACAUGUUUUUCUGCCCCGACUAAAUCCAAACCUCCGACCUUCUUUUAACUUUCCAUCCUUGCAGANAUAUAUACUAGUGAAUUUGAGAGGACCGUGCUGAGCACGGCCCGUAGAGGGUACUUUUGGAAUUUUAAAAAUGAUGUUCAAACGAUAAAUAGGAUAUAAAAUAAUAUAUGUACUUUUUAAUCUUUCUACCAAGUAUAAAGUGUAACACUAUAAAUGGUUAGAAUUUUCAAAGUACAUUGCCUAAAUAGGCUCCUUUAUUCGUAUUAAGUGAAAGAGAAACAACCAUAUGUAACUGUCUAGUCUAACUGUCUAAGUGCCUAGGAUAAAGGGCCCUUUUAAUGAAAAACUUAGCAGCAUCUGCAAAAAAGGAAAAUGAAACAUGUUAGGACUCAAAAACAGAAAGAAGUUCAUUCCAGAUCCAUGAAAAUAUUGGUACCUUCAUUUUUUUUUGCCAUUAUUUCAAAUAUGUUUCAAGUUUUACAAUAACACAUUUAACAAUUACAUUUUUUGAGAUGAGGGUUUUCUAAAUAUGCAUCUCAUUUUAUUAAUAUCUUGUACUUUCCACCUGAACCUAUAUAUCCAAUGGUAUCAAUUUCAACCAACAAAAAAAGGUCUACACAAUUUUAGUUAUCAUUUGAGGUUUAUGUGGCUUUUUGGUCUUUGUCCGAAGUAAAAUAUGACUUCACUUUUGGGACCAAAAUUGACAAAAUAGUUGUAGUGAAGGACAAAAGGCAUAAUUCACGUUUUUAUUUAUUUGUUUAUUUAUUAUUAUUAUUAUUUUUUAAAUAAGGAAAAGAAAUUUGGGUAUUUAAAGAAAAAGGAUUUAAAGACACAAAGAUAAAAAACUUGGUAAUUGCCAUGAAGCUGAGAACCGAGGCCCUCAGAGUAAUCAGAACCAAAUGAUACACCCUCUCUAGGAAAAGCUUCCAACACCGGAAAAUUUUGACCCACAUUGGUCAACCUCCAUAGACCCUUUAGAAGAUUUGGUUUCAAGUGCAGUCAACUAAAUGGAAACAUGCACCCUGAUUUUGCACUCGGUUGUUCCUACAACACAAAUAAACUUUAUUAUUAUAAAGGCAAAGCAUAUACUAAUUGAUAUCAUCAGCUUUAAUAUAACAAGAUAUGUGAAGGAAUCCGCAUUAGUUGAAUUUAUGGAAGAAUGAUUUGAGAUGUUAUGCCAUCCUAUAACAAAUUCAAUCACAAUACACUUAUAAUCAUUAAAUGCUUCCUUGAUCCAAUGUCACUCUGCUAAAAUUAAUACGUAAAAGGUUGGAAUUUGGAAAGGGCUAAUGCCAUAAAAACCCUCAAAUUUUCGAAAAAUGUUUGGUUAUAUCCUAAGUCCAUUUUUAUGUCAACAAAAACCGCACAUUUAAGCAAAAAUUGUUAUAAUUGCACUUUUUUCCGAUUUUACCCUCUAUGACAUUAGGGGGUGUUUGGUUACAAAUCAACACAUGUUAAAGGAUGUUUGGUAUUAGGGGAUGUUUGGGAAAGCACCUCCAGUGCUCGCUGCUUCAAAGAAAUCAGCGGAGAACAAUCAGGUUUGCUACCAUUGGCCAAUUUUGUAGCUCUUAUUCUCUCUACUCAAUCUCCGUAUCUGUUGGUGAGCUUGAUUAGGGUUUGAUAGCCAUAUGCAAAUCUGAUUUCAUUUGAUUAUUAAAGUUUCAAAUUUGGGUUUUUUUUUCCUGGGUUUGUGUUGAAGCUGUAUUUGGUUUCAAAUAUGAGGAAAUCCAAAAUCGAAAUUAAACGAAGGGCAUUAGGAAUCCUCUUUUCUUUGGUCAAGAGGAUGAUUUCAGAUGAUGACCAGAUAGAUAAGAAGACCUGAUGAUCUUUAAAAUGCCAUGGUUGUUCUUGCACAAUGUUGACAAAAACAUAACAGAGGAGAUGAUGGUGGCGUGAUAGCUAACGAAGAAAAUGCCCUAAUCUUUUCACCCCUAUUCCAUUACUUGUUUGUGAUUUCCUUGGGCUAACUGGAAAUGCACAAUCAUUGGAUUUAAGUGUUUUUUACUUUUAUGUUUGGUUUUGAGGUUUGAUUACUGUUUGAUUUCAUGUUUGAAUAUAAUUUUAAGGUUAGAUUUCAGAUUUGAAUAUGAGUUUGAGGUGUGGUCGUUGAAUCGGUUCUUUUAGCAGGAAGGAGGAGGAGGUGAUCGUUAGGAGCACGGUUCUUCUUCUUCUUCUUCGAAUAUAAUUUCCCGAUCCACCCUGUCGCUGCUUCAUUUUCCCCUCGAUUGGUGGUUGCCGACGACGAGAGAAGGACCACGAAGGGUCACCGGAAGUUGCAGGUCGCCGGAUUAUCCCUGAUGCCAAACAUCCCCUAACAUGUGUCUAUCUGUAACCAAACACCCCCUAAUGCCAUAGAAGGGUAAAAUCGGAAAAGAGGGCAAUAAAACACCGAUUCAAUAUGUAAAACUCCAAUAAGGUUUUAAUGUUUAUUUUUUGGUUGUAUGCCGUAUCAGAAAACUAAAUAUUAUCAACAGAUGUGGUGAAAAUUCAUGCAAAGGCACAACAUUAUUCUAAUUCAAAUAGGACAGAGUUUCCCACUAUACACAUUUACUCAUUUAGACAUGAUUAUAUCAUUUGUAAUUAAUAUAUUUUGACAAUAGAAAUAACCAUAAACUACCUUUUUAUCUCUCGACUUUUUCUACUGUUUUCCGUCUUUUUCUAUGCCAGGCCAAAAGUAUAGUGUUUAAACAAUGAAAAAUAAUUAAUAUAUACAACAGCUUAACAAAUCAUCUGAGUAUGCCAAUCUUGGGAGACAAUUAAUUAUGAUAGUAAAAAGUCA